GAGAAAGGUCCGAAGACAACACAAACUGCUAAUUUCUGCCCCUUUGGUUAAACCCCUAAGCUUUCUCG
rnacentral:tRNA from 1 species